GACGAACGCUGGCGGCGUGCUUAACACAUGCAAGUCGAACGGAAAGGCCCUGCUUUUGCGGGGUGCUCGAGUGGCGAACGGGUGAGUAACACGUGAGUAACCUGCCCUUGACUUUGGGAUAACUUCAGGAAACUGGGGCUAAUACCGGAUAGGAGCUCCUGCUGCACGGUGGGGGUUGGAAAGUUUCGGCGGUUGGGGAUGGACUCGCGGCUUAUCAGCUUGUUGGUGGGGUAGUGGCUUACCAAGGCUUUGACGGGUAGCCGGCCUGGGAGCGUGACCGGCCACAUUGGGACUGAGAGACGGACCAGUCUCCUACGGGAGGCAGCAGUGGGAAGUAUUGCGCAGUGAGCGGGAGCCUGAUGCGGCAGCGCCGCGUGCGGGAUAACGGCCUACGAGGUAUGAACCGCUUUCGCCUGUAACGAGGCGUGAGUGACGGUAAUGGGUAAAAAAGCACCGGCUAACUACGUG
rnacentral:rRNA from 1 species